ACACUGACGUCGCGACGCAUAUCAAUAAGCGGAGGAAAAGAAACUAACAAGGAUUCCCUUAGUAACGGCGAGUGAAGCGGGAAGAGCUCAAAUUUGAAAUCUUCAAGGUUCUACCUUGACGAAUUGUAGUUUAAAGAAGUGUUUUCUGUUAGAUGAGUAGGCAAAAGUUCCUUGGAAUAGGACAUCAUAGAGGGUGAGAAUCCCGUAUUUGGUCAUUCCUUCUAGCUUUGUGAUACACUUUCAAAGAGUCGGAUUGUUUGGGAUGCAGUCCAAAAUGGGUGGUAAAUUUCAUCUAAAGCUAAAUAUUGGCGAGAGACCGAUAGCGAACAAGUACCGUGAGGGAAAGAUGAAAAGAACUUUGAAAAGAGAGUUAAACAGUACGUGAAAUUGUCAAAAGGGAAGCGUUUGACACCAGUGUUGUUUUUCCGAAAAUCAAUUACUAAUGUCUUGAUUUCUGAGGUUGUAUUGACCUUAUCAGGCUUUCCUUCAUCUUUUCACGAAGUCUUUCUGUAAUGCACUUUUCGGUUAACAAGUCAACAUCAAUUUCUUUUGUUGUAAAAGAGUAUUCGGAAGGUGGCUUUCUUUUCGGAGAAAGUGUUUAUAGCCCUAUACUUCUACAAUCGGAGAGAUUGAGGUCUGCAGCGUAGAUCCUUCGGGGUUAGAUACACUUGUGCUAAGUUGAUAGCUUUUCAUAGACAACUUGUUGACUAUGUUUAGUCAUUGUAGCUUACUCGCUUAUGCUAUUUUACCUACGCUUAGGAUGUUGAGUCGUAGAGCACGCAG
rnacentral:rRNA from 1 species